rnacentral:misc_RNA from 1 species
AACUUUCGACAAUGGAUUACUUGGUUCUGGCAUCGAUGAAGAACGCAGCGAAAUGCGAUAAGUAGUGUGAAUUGCAGAAUUCAGUGAAUCAUCGAAUCUUUGAACGCACAUUGCGCCCCUUGGUAUCCCGAGGGGCAUGCCUGUUCGAGCGUCAUUUCACCACUCAAGCCUGGCUUGGUGUUGGGCGCCGUCCCCGCAGCGGACGCGCCUCAAAGCUCUCGUGCGGCGCGGCACCGGCUUCGAGCGUAGCAGAAACCUUUCGCUUUGGAAGCCCGGGGCCCCGCCCGCCGGAAGGCCCACUCAAGGAUGACCUCGGAUCAGGCAGGGAUACCCGCUGAACUUAAGCAUAUCAAUAAGCGGAGGCU